rnacentral:rRNA from 1 species
UACGUAGGGGGCAAGCGUUGUCCGGAAUCAUUGGGCGUAAAGCGCGCGUAGGCGGCCCGGUAAGUCCGCUCUGAAAGUCCAGGGCUCAACCCUGGAAAGCGGGUGGAUACUGCCGGGCUAGAAUCCGGAAGAGGCGAGUGGAAUUCCUGGUGUAGCGGUGGAAUGCGCAGAUAUCAGGAGGAACACCAAUAGCGAAGGCAGCUCGCUGGGACGGUAUUGACGCUAAGGCGCGAAAGCGUGGGGAGCGAACAGG